CUAGUUCCAAUGAUGAAAUAUUCGGAUGUAAAUUCACAGACCUGUUCUGAAAGCGCAAAGCUGUGUGGAUAUUUCCGUUGCCUUCCUUCUGAUUUCUCGU
rnacentral:snoRNA from 1 species